UGGGAGAGCACACCUCCCUUCCUUUUAUGUGCAUACAUUUAAAGCCAAGGCAGGGAGAGCAGCAGCAGCAAAGACCCUCAAAGAAAGUGCAGUUUCCUUUCUAAGUGUGUUUGUGGAAUGCCAAAACCUGCAGCAGGUUAAACACUUAACCACUUAACUGUCAUUAACAUAUCUUUAAAAGUAAGGCAGGGAGGGCAGCAGCGAAAAACUCUGAGGAAUCAGUGAUGACAUUUGAAGACAGGGACAAAAACAAUCAGAGAAAAUAAAGAAAAAAGACAGAAUAAGAAGACAGAUACGGGGUGGGGGUGAGUUGCUAAGCUGUUUGCAGAGGAUGUAUUAAGAACAGUUAUUUUGGCAUUUGCCAACUGGAUGUGUGGAAGGUAAUAAGCUAAAGUUCUAUGGACUCACUUUGACUUUUUGGCCUUCCUAAACAAACUCUAUGCUCAGUAUAAACACUAGCCUGCUUUAUUUUAUAAUUCAAAAUGGUAAAAGAAACAUGACAAAGUUUAACAAGAUGUAAAGCUUUGCCUAUAUAUUUAUUGAUUUGUAAAAAGGACCAAUAAAACUUGUCACAACCUAUAAUGACAGUAACCAUGUUUGAGAAUAAUUUAAUUGAUGUAUAUUUUGAUUUUUUAAUUCGACUCAAGUCCCAUCUGUUAACAUAGAAGACACAGCCUUGAUCUAUACUAUGUAUGACCAGAAGGGGGAGCUCCUGAAGUUUUGCUGUCACUUUUGGAGCGCUGCCAUGUCGUUCUCUUCACACAGCUGAUGGUUUAUCCUGUCCUUAUAUCUUCUAUUCUUCUCCAACUUGUCCAUUUGUAGUUUUUCAUGAUCUUACAAACACACUUUCUCUGGGCGAGCCUAAAACCGUUUCAUAAAGCAGACCAUCAGGAGUUCCAGAGAGAGGGGCUUUCCCCUGGAAACUGUUCCAGGCUGCUCUGCAGGCGAGUAUUCCCCUGUUUUUGGGGUUGCACUUACAGCCAAGUUAUGACCUCAGAAUAUUCAGGCACUGACUCAACUUUCACAGCAGCCUGUGUGUUAACAGCCCGUCCUGAUCUGAAGACGACUCUGUUGCUCCUUAACCUCUGCAAAUCCAAAGCAGGUGAGGUGUACUUGGGUUAAUCGUGGUGGUUUUCCUCUGCUCCUUCACUUUGAUUUGUGCCUUUAGAACAGAUUGUACCCAUGGGAAUAAGAAUUCACUCCUGAUUGUAAAACAGAAAGGUUGCCCUCCAUGUAUAUGAAACUACAGCUGAGUUAUAGAAGAUCAGAUUCUUAUUUUGCUACGUCGAGCAGAAUUUCCUCUCCCAUGGGCCGUAGGAACAGUUAAACCCAGGAUUCUCUGAGAAUCCACAUUUGCUUUCAGUUAUGGGCAUUAGCAUCCCUCUUAUGGGAAAAACCGCGGGUACUUUUUUUCUCUGUAACUGAGCUGUAGAGCAAUACAUCAGACUCCCUCGCCAUGCCGCGGCACAUUAAGGAUGCCCAUUAGAGCUCAUUGGGGCUGAUAUAAGAAAACAAACCUGACGGAUGGCAGAGCUUACAUCAAAGUGAAGGGUGGCAAAAGGAUUUUGCUGAAUUGUGUCGGUUUUCUUUCAGCUGUGGCAUCAUGUAAGACAUAUAGUUCAAGUUCUUGCAUGAUCAAGGUACAAAUUAACCGAAUUUCGCACAGCCAGCUGGAAAGAACUGACCCCCUCGCUGCCAAGACCUACAUGUGAAACACCAUGACUAAGCUGUUUGGGGCUAUGAAGUGCCUUUCCCAAAGUCAAGCGAUGAAAACAAGACAAAUAUCAAGCAGCUGUUGUCUAAAAGCAUCAAAAUUAAUGUAUAAUCCAUGAAGUAUCUUGUGAACACCACCCAAAAACUGUCAAAUCACAUUUAACGCUUGCACAGCAUGCUCUCAGAGAAUUACACUCUGCAGGCUAAGCGCUCCAGCUACUUGGCAGAAGUGGGACAUUCCUGACCAAAGACGUAACCGGGAUUAUUUCAAAGUGGUUGUACUGGAGUAAAAUACGACUCCUGUCAUGUUUGACAGAGACGUAAUAGGAAGUCCUGCCUAGGAAGUGGCCGAAAAACCCUGCAAAGAAUAGAAAAGAUUCAGCAUCCUUUUUCCUCUAAGAAUCAGAAGAGCUCAGUCAAACCCAGAACAUGUUGUUCCUGCUGGAAAAUCUGUGCUCAUGUCCAACCACAACUUCACGAGAGUUAGUAGACUGUAAAAUGUUUAAAAAAGGAAAAGGAUGGUUUUAAAUCAUUUAAACCCAAAUAGUGUUUGAUCAAAUUUAUGCUCAUUUCAGAAGUGUUUCAACAGUUCAUUUGGGAGAUGUGGAGCUACCGAUGCCACGGCCUUGUACAAGCCCCGUACCAUCAGGGUUGCUGGGGUUUGGACUAUGUCCCAGUUGGCUCCUCUCCUCUGCAGAAUAGGGGGUGUUGGGUCUAUGAUCCCCCAAAAAAGUCAGAUUUUGAUUAAUCAGACCAGUGGACAGGGUUCUGAUUCCCCACAGUCCAUUUUAAGUUGACACAGGUCCAGAGAGGUUGUUGGUGCCAGUGGGUUAUGUCUACAUGCUAGCAUGCUUUCGUGGAAGCAGCAAUGGAGAAACAACUUUUUUUUUAGCUUUUUUAUGUCCUAAACAAAGGAAAUGUUGUUUUCAUCAACACUUUCCAGUGUCUGGACUCUUAUGGACUUUGGGUUGUGAUUUAAGAUCCACCACCAUUAGCCUGAGAGACUUGGACAUGUAUUGCAGCCUGUGAGUAGAUCUUGAGUCCAUGAUAGAAGACAGAGCUGUGCAUUUGUUUGAUAGACACUCUCCACUGGCAGCACCGCUGCUCUCCAGACAUGGGGAUUUCCUGCAAUGAGCAAUUUCACCCAUGCACGACUGGAACUUCUCCUGGCCUUCAACAGAGAUCCAGCACUCCCCCCUUGAUCCACUUUAUUACAUCUCUGCUGCCCAGAGACCACUCCCUUAAUAUCUUCAUACUUCUCCCAGUCUCUCUCAUUACUCUUGUUGCCUACAUUCACCCUCUUGUCUUCUCUCACUUGCAGAAAGUUUCCUCUUCUUUCAUCCCUGACAUAAUUCAUGUGUUUAACUUCAUGAUCUCUGUAUUCUCUGAUUCUCUACACUCGGUCCCUGCUUCGCUCAGCGGAGGUCCUCUGCAGGUUUUACUCAAUUCAGACCUGUGGGGGUUUGUCAUUGUGCCAGCUGUGUUUAAGGAAAGGCCUGAAUCAUCCAAACAAAUCCUCAUCUAUCUCUCAGCAGUAGUAAACACACAGACGCACUAACCACCACCUCAACUCUUCAUAUGCUGGUCACUCUUCCUCCAGAAAAGAAGAAAAAACUUGCUUCCUCUUCCACUCUCAUUCAACACAGAGCCUGCAGGAAAAAAAACCUACAGCUGUGUCACCUGUCGUCACUUCCAAAUCAAACAGGCGGUUUUUCUUCAUUGUUAAACACUUCUAAACAUUUACACCACACUGUAAAAGUUACACUCA